AAUAUGGGCAAACUUACUGAAAAGUAAGGACGCAAAGCUAAGGGUCUAACCCAUGGAAACAUGGUAUGACAGCCGGUUGCUA
rnacentral:ncRNA from 1 species